GCCCCCUUAGCUCAGAGGAUAGAGCAACGGUCUUCUAAACCGUGGGUCGUAGGUUCGAAUCCUACAGGGGGCG
rnacentral:tRNA from 1 species